rnacentral:rRNA from 2 species
UAGAGUUUGAUCCUGGCUCAGGACGAACGCUGGCGGCGUGCCUAAUACAUGCAAGUCGAACGAACUCUGGUAUUGAUUGGUGCUUGCAUCAUGAUUUACAUUUGAGUGAGUGGCGAACUGGUGAGUAACACGUGGGAAACCUGCCCAGAAGCGGGGGAUAACACCUGGAAACAGAUGCUAAUACCGCAUAACAACUUGGACCGCAUGGUCCGAGUUUGAAAGAUGGCUUCGGCUAUCACUUUUGGAUGGUCCCGCGGCGUAUUAGCUAGAUGGUGGGGUAACGGCUCACCAUGGCAAUGAUACGUAGCCGACCUGAGAGGGUAAUCGGCCACAUUGGGACUGAGACACGGCCCAAACUCCUACGGGAGGCAGCAGUAGGGAAUCUUCCACAAUGGACGAAAGUCUGAUGGAGCAACGCCGCGUGAGUGAAGAAGGGUUUCGGCUCGUAAAACUCUGUUGUUAAAGAAGAACAUAUCUGAGAGUAACUGUUCAGGUAUUGACGGUAUUUAACCAGAAAGCCACGGCUAACUACGUGCCAGCAGCCGCGGUAAUACGUAGGUGGCAAGCGUUGUCCGGAUUUAUUGGGCGUAAAGCGAGCGCAGGCGGUUUUUUAAGUCUGAUGUGAAAGCCUUCGGCUCAACCGAAGAAGUGCAUCGGAAACUGGGAAACUUGAGUGCAGAAGAGGACAGUGGAACUCCAUGUGUAGCGGUGAAAUGCGUAGAUAUAUGGAAGAACACCAGUGGCGAAGGCGGCUGUCUGGUCUGUAACUGACGCUGAGGCUCGAAAGUAUGGGUAGCAAACAGGAUUAGAUACCCUGGUAGUCCAUACCGUAAACGAUGAAUGCUAAGUGUUGGAGGGUUUCCGCCCUUCAGUGCUGCAGCUAACGCAUUAAGCAUUCCGCCUGGGGAGUACGGCCGCAAGGCUGAACUCAAAGGAAUUGACGGGGGCCCGCACAAGCGGUGGAGCAUGUGGUUUAAUUCGAAGCUACGCGAAGAACCUUACCAGGUCUUGACAUACUAUGCAAAUCUAAGAGAUUAGACGUUCCCUUCGGGGACAUGGAUACAGGUGGUGCAUGGUUGUCGUCAGCUCGUGUCGUGAGAUGUUGGGUUAAGUCCCGCAACGAGCGCAACCCUUAUUAUCAGUUGCCAGCAUUAAGUUGGGCACUCUGGUGAGACUGCCGGUGACAAACCGGAGGAAGGUGGGGAUGACGUCAAAUCAUCAUGCCCCUUAUGACCUGGGCUACACACGUGCUACAAUGGAUGGUACAACGAGUUGCGAACUCGCGAGAGUAAGCUAAUCUCUUAAAGCCAUUCUCAGUUCGGAUUGUAGGCUGCAACUCGCCUACAUGAAGUCGGAAUCGCUAGUAAUCGCGGAUCAGCAUGCCGCGGUGAAUACGUUCCCGGGCCUUGUACACACCGCCCGUCACACCAUGAGAGUUUGUAACACCCAAAGUCGGUGGGGUAACCUUUUAGGAACCAGCCGCCUAAGGUGGGACAGAUGAUUAGGGUGAAGUCGUAACAAGGUA